rnacentral:rRNA from 1 species
GGGUUGUGAGGUUAAGCGACUAAGCGUACACGGUGGAUGCCCUGGCAGUCAGAGGCGAUGAAGGACGUGCUAAUCUGCGAUAAGCGCCGGUAAGGUGAUAUGAACCGUUAUAACCGGCGAUUUCCGAAUGGGGAAACCCAGUGUGACUCGUCACACUAUCAUUAACUGAAUCCAUAGGUUAAUGAGGCGAACCGGGGGAACUGAAACAUCUAAGUACCCCGAGGAAAAGAAAUCAACCGAGAUUCCCCCAGUAGCGGCGAGCGAACGGGGAGGAGCCCAGAGCCUGAAUCAGCAUGUGUGUUAGUGGAAGCGUCUGGAAAGGCGCGCGAUACAGGGUGACAGCCCCGUACACAAAAGCGCAUGUGCUGUGAGCUCGAUGAGUAGGGCGGGACACGUGGUAUCCUGUCUGAAUAUGGGGGGACCAUCCUCCAAGGCUAAAUACUCCUGACUGACCGAUAGUGAACCAGUACCGUGAGGGAAAGGCGAAAAGAACCCCGGCGAGGGGAGUGAAAAAGAACCUGAAACCGUGUACGUACAAGCAGUGGGAGCCCCACCACUAAGCCAGUGGUGAACUCCACAUACGCAUCCUUUGCUGAGGAUACGGUUAACGGAGCGAAAGCGACGUUCAACCUCAAAAGAAGCAGAGGGGGCUUAGUGGUGGGGUGACUGCGUACCUUUUGUAUAAUGGGUCAGCGACUUAUAUUCUGUAGCAAGGUUAACCGUAUAGGGGAGCCGCAGGGAAACCGAGUCUUAACCGGGCGUUAAGUUGCAGGGUAUAGACCCGAAACCCGGUGAUCUAGCCAUGGGCAGGUUGAAGGUUGGGUAACACUAACUGGAGGACCGAACCGACUAAUGUUGAAAAAUUAGCGGAUGACCUGUGGCUGGGGGUGAAAGGCCAAUCAAACCGGGAGAUAGCUGGUUCUCCCCGAAAGCUAUUUAGGUAGCGCCUCGUGAAUUCAUCUCCGGGGGUAGAGCACUGUUUCGGCUAGGGGGCCAUCCCGGCUUACCAACCCGAUGCAAACUGCGAAUACCGGAGAAUGUUAUCACGGGAGACACACGGCGGGUGCUAACGUCCGUCGUGAAGAGGGAAACAACCCAGACCGCCAGCUAAGGUCCCAAAGUCAUGGUUAAGUGGGAAACGAUGUGGGAAGGCCCAGACAGCCAGGAUGUUGGCUUAGAAGCAGCCAUCAUUUAAAGAAAGCGUAAUAGCUCACUGGUCGAGUCGGCCUGCGCGGAAGAUGUAACGGGGCUAAACCAUGCACCGAAGCUGCGGCAGCGACACUGUGUGUUGUUGGGUAGGGGAGCGUUCUGUAAGCCUGUGAAGGUGGCCUGUGAGGGUUGCUGGAGGUAUCAGAAGUGCGAAUGCUGACAUAAGUAACGAUAAAGCGGGUGAAAAGCCCGCUCGCCGGAAGACCAAGGGUUCCUGUCCAACGUUAAUCGGGGCAGGGUGAGUCGACCCCUAAGGCGAGGCCGAAAGGCGUAGUCGAUGGGAAACGGGUUAAUAUUCCCGUACUUGGUGUUACUGCGAAGGGGGGACGGAGAAGGCUAUGUUGGCCGGGCGACGGUUGUCCCGGUUUAAGCGUGUAGGUGUGUGUUCCAGGUAAAUCCGGUUCACUUUAACACUGAGGCGUGAUGACGAGGCACUACGGUGCUGAAGCAACAAAUGCCCUGCUUCCAGGAAAAGCCUCUAAGCAUCAGGUAACAUCAAAUCGUACCCCAAACCGACACAGGUGGUCAGGUAGAGAAUACCAAGGCGCUUGAGAGAACUCGGGUGAAGGAACUAGGCAAAAUGGUGCCGUAACUUCGGGAGAAGGCACGCUGACACGUAGGUGAAGUGAUUUACUCAUGGAGCUGAAGUCAGUCGAAGAUACCAGCUGGCUGCAACUGUUUAUUAAAAACACAGCACUGUGCAAACACGAAAGUGGACGUAUACGGUGUGACGCCUGCCCGGUGCCGGAAGGUUAAUUGAUGGGGUCAGCGCAAGCGAAGCUCCUGAUCGAAGCCCCGGUAAACGGCGGCCGUAACUAUAACGGUCCUAAGGUAGCGAAAUUCCUUGUCGGGUAAGUUCCGACCUGCACGAAUGGCGUAAUGAUGGCCAGGCUGUCUCCACCCGAGACUCAGUGAAAUUGAACUCGCUGUGAAGAUGCAGUGUACCCGCGGCAAGACGGAAAGACCCCGUGAACCUUUACUAUAGCUUGACACUGAACAUUGAGCCUUGAUGUGUAGGAUAGGUGGGAGGCUUUGAAGUGUGGACGCCAGUCUGCAUGGAGCCGACCUUGAAAUACCACCCUUUAAUGUUUGAUGUUCUAACGUGGACCCGUAAUCCGGGUUGCGGACAGUGUCUGGUGGGUAGUUUGACUGGGGCGGUCUCCUCCUAAAGAGUAACGGAGGAGCACGAAGGUUGGCUAAUCCUGGUCGGACAUCAGGAGGUUAGUGCAAUGGCAUAAGCCAGCUUGACUGCGAGCGUGACGGCGCGAGCAGGUGCGAAAGCAGGUCAUAGUGAUCCGGUGGUUCUGAAUGGAAGGGCCAUCGCUCAACGGAUAAAAGGUACUCCGGGGAUAACAGGCUGAUACCGCCCAAGAGUUCAUAUCGACGGCGGUGUUUGGCACCUCGAUGUCGGCUCAUCACAUCCUGGGGCUGAAGUAGGUCCCAAGGGUAUGGCUGUUCGCCAUUUAAAGUGGUACGCGAGCUGGGUUUAGAACGUCGUGAGACAGUUCGGUCCCUAUCUGCCGUGGGCGCUGGAGAACUGAGGGGGGCUGCUCCUAGUACGAGAGGACCGGAGUGGACGCAUCACUGGUGUUCGGGUUGUCAUGCCAAUGGCACUGCCCGGUAGCUAAAUGCGGAAGAGAUAAGUGCUGAAAGCAUCUAAGCACGAAACUUGCCCCGAGAUGAGUUCUCCCUGAGACUUUAGUCUCCUGAAGGAACGUUGAAGACGACGACGUUGAUAGGCCGGGUGUGUAAGCGCAGCGAUGCGUUGAGCUAACCGGUACUAAUGAACCGUGAGGCUUAACCUUACAACGCCGAAGCUGUU